UACGGAGGGUGCAAACGUUGCUCGGAAUUAUUGGGCGUAAAGCGCACGUAGGCGGUUCGUUAAGUCGGAUGUGAAACCCCGGGGCUCAACCCCGGAACUGCAUCCGAUACUGCGUGGCUAGAGGUAGGUAGGGGAGAUCGGAAUUCCUGGUGUAGCGGUGAAAUGCGCAGAUAUCAGGAGGAACACCGGUGGCGAAGGCGGAUCUCUGGGCCUUACCUGACGCUCAGGCACGAAAGCUAGGGGAGCGAACAGG
rnacentral:rRNA from 1 species